rnacentral:lncRNA from 1 species
UGAAAUUGCUUAAGGUAGCUAAUGGAGCCCGAGUCUAGUGUGAUUGGUGAUUUACUGUUAUUUGGCAUGUUUACAGCUUUAAAUGCAAAAUGAGGUUUGAUGUGUUCAUUUUACAGAUUUGUGUGCAUAUACUACGUUUUUAUUAAUCAUGGGUUGAAUGACUGAAAAACUGAUACUGUAUGUUGUCUGUUUGGCAUGAAUUACUGUUUUGCUUGUUUGUAUGUGAAUUGAUGAUGCUGACUGAGGAAAAGGAAAAUGAAAGAUUGUGUAGACUGAUAAUUGUAUUAUGGGGGUCAGCCUGACUAGAUAUCCUGGGAGAUGG